UUCUCUUCUCUCUUUUUAAUUAUUUUGUUGAACUCGCACAGUCUCUAAGUUGAUCUUGCUUCGUGAAAUGUAUAUAGGUAGAAACACUAACACUCACUUCCUAUUUUCGUAGAUGAGAAUGGUUUCUAGUAUCAUGCUACUACACCAAAUCCACUUCAAUUAUUUGGAAGCUGCAAAUUGUUAGUGACAAUUUCUGGUCAAUACGCUGUUGCCUCGCUCUGCUGUUGCUUUUCUCUAUUAUUGUUGUUCUCAAUGAUUUAUCGAGUUUUGUUUUCCUCUGCAUUUUGUACGUUGUUGAAGGUUUUGAAUCAAUUUUAAAAAGGAAAUUCUCAAAGGUGCACUUCAAUUCCAUUAUAUGUAUUUAAUCCAUUGAAUAUCCCAUGCUUUGUUGUUUAUUGUUUGUCUAGUUAAUAAAUAGCUUAGCUUGUUUAUGCUGUCAAAUGUAUG
rnacentral:lncRNA from 1 species